CCUACGGGGUGCACCAGUGGGGAAUAUUGGACAAUGGGCGCAAGCCCGAUCCAGCCAUGCCGCGUGAGUGAAGAAGGCCUUAGGGUUGUAAAGCUCUUUCACCGGUGAGGAUAAUGACGGUAACCGGAGAAGAAGCCCCGGCUAACUUCGUGCCAGCAGCCGCGGUAAUACGAAGGGGGCUAGCGUUGUUCGGAAUUACUGGGCGUAAAGCGCGCGUAGGCGGAUAGAUAAGUCAGAGGUGAAAUCCCGGGGCUCAACCCCGGAAUUACCUUUGAUACUGUUUAUCUUGAGUGCAGAAGAGGUAAGUGGAAUUCCGGGUGUAGAGGUGAAAUUCGUAGAUAUUCGGAGGAACACCAGUGGCGAAGGCGGCUUACUGGUCUGCAACUGACGCUGAGGCGCGAAAGCGUGGGGAGCAAACAGGAUUAGAUACCCCUGUAGUC
rnacentral:rRNA from 1 species